CAGUAGCCGCGGGAAUACAGAGGGUGCGAGCGUUAAUCGGAUUUACUGGGCGUAAAGCGUGCGUAGGCGGCUAAUUGAGUCGGAUGUGAAAUCCCCGAGCUUAACUUGGGAAUUGCAUUCGAUACUGGUUAGCUAGAGUGUGGGAGAGGAUGGUAGAAUUCCAGGUGUAGCGGUGAAAUGCGUAGAGAUCUGGAGGAAUACCGAUGGCGAAGGCAGCCAUCUGGCCUAACACUGACGCUGAGGUACGAAAGCAUGGGGAGCAAACAGGAUUAGAUACCCGUGUAGUCCCUGUCUCUUAUAC
rnacentral:rRNA from 1 species